rnacentral:rRNA from 1 species
UACAAAGGGGGCUAGCGUUGCUCGGAAUUACUGGGCGUAAAGGGAGCGUAGGCGGACAUUUAAGUCAGAGGUGAAAUCCCGGAGCUUAACUUCGGAACUGCCUUUGAUACUGGGUGUCUUGAGUGUGAGAGAGGUAUGUGGAACUCCGAGUGUAGAGGUGAAAUUCGUAGAUAUUCGGAAGAACACCAGUGGCGAAGGCGACAUACUGGCUCAUUACUGACGCUGAGGCUCGAAAGCGUGGGGAGCAAACAGG